GAUGAACGCUGGCGGCGUGCCUAAUACAUGCAAGUCGAACGAACAGACGAGGAGUUUGCUCCUCUGACGUUAGCGGCGGACGGGUGCGUAACACGUCGACCACCUACUUAGGAGACAGGGAUCACAUCGCGAGACCGGAGCUGAUACCGGAUAAUAUAUUGAACUGCGUGGUUCCAUAGAGGAAAGCGGGUUUGCUGGCCCUUAUAGAUGGAUCCGCCCCGCAUUAGCUAGUUGGUAAGGUAACGGCUUACCAAGGCAACGAAGCGUAGCCGACCUGAGAGGGCGAGCGGCCACACUGGAACUGAAACACGGUCCAGACUCCUACGGGAGGCAGCAGUAGGGAAUCUUCCGCAAUGGGCGAAAGCCUGACGGAGCACCGCCGCGUGAGUGAGGAAGGUCUUCGGAUCGUAAGCCUCUGUUAUUAGGGAGGAACAAAUGUGUAUGUAACUAUGCACGUCUUGACGGUACCUAUUCAGAAAGCCCCGGCUAACUACGUG
rnacentral:rRNA from 1 species